GAUGAACGCUGGCGGCGUGCCUAAUACAUGCAAGUCGAGCGAACAGAUAAGGAGCUUGCUCCUUUGACGUUAGCGGCGGACGGGUGAGUAACACGUGGGUAACCCACCUAUAAGACUGGAAUAACUCCGGGAAACCGGGGCUAAUGCCGGAUAACAUUUAGAACCGCAUGGUUCUAAAGUGAAAGAUGGUUUUGCUAUCACUUAUAGAUGGACCCGCGCCGUAUUAGCUAGUUGGUAGGGUAACGGCUUACCAAGGCAACGAUACGUAGCCGACCUGAGAGGGUGAUCAGCCACACUGGAACUGAGACACGGUCCAGACUCCUACGGGAGGCAGCAGUAGGGAAUCUUCCGCAAUGGGCGAAAGCCUGACGGAGCAACGCCGCGUGAGUGAUGAAGGUCUUCGGAUCGUAAAACUCUGUUAUUAGGGAAGAACAAAUGUGUAAGUAACUGUGCACGUCUUGACGUUACCUAAUCAGAAAGCCACGGCUAACUACGUG
rnacentral:rRNA from 1 species